UGAAGAGUUUGAUUCCUGGCUCAGGAUGAACGCUGGCGGCGUGCCUAAUACAUGCAAGUCGAGCGAACAGACGAGGAGCUUGCUCCUCUGACGUUAGCGGCGGACGGGUGAGUAACACGUGGAUAACCUACCUAUAAGACUGGGAUAACUUCGGGAAACCGGAGCUAAUACCGGAUAAUAUAUUGAACCGCAUGGUUCAAUAGUGAAAGACGGUUUUGCUGUCACUUAUAGAUGGAUCCGCGCCGCAUUAGCUAGUUGGUAAGGUAACGGCUUACCAAGGCAACGAUGCGUAGCCGACCUGAGAGGGUGAUCGGCCACACUGGAACUGAGACACGGUCCAGACUCCUACGGGAGGCAGCAGUAGGGAAUCUUCCGCAAUGGGCGAAAGCCUGACGGAGCAACGCCGCGUGAGUGAUGAAGGUCUUCGGAUCGUAAAACUCUGUUAUUAGGGAAGAACAAAUGUGUAAGUAACUAUGCACGUCUUGACGGUACCUAAUCAGAAAGCCACGGCUAACUACGUGCCAGCAGCCGCGGUAAUACGUAGGUGGCAAGCGUUAUCCGGAAUUAUUGGGCGUAAAGCGCGCGUAGGCGGUUUUUUAAGUCUGAUGUGAAAGCCCACGGCUCAACCGUGGAGGGUCAUUGGAAACUGGAAAACUUGAGUGCAGAAGAGGAAAGUGGAAUUCCAUGUGUAGCGGUGNAAAUGCGCARAGAUAUGGAGGAACCCCAGUGGCGAAGGCGACUUUCUGGUCUGUAACUGACGCUGAUGUGCGAAAGCGUGGGGAUCAAACAGGAUUAGAUACCCUGGGUAGUCCACGCCGUAAACGAUGAGUGCUAAGUGUUUAGGGGGUUUCCGCCCCCUUAGUGCUGCAGCUAACGCAUUAAGCACUCCGCCUGGGGAGUACGACCGCAAGGUUGAAACUCAAAGGAAUUGACGGGGACCCGCACAAGCGGUGGAGCAUGUGGUUUAAUUCGAAGCAACGCGAAGAACCUUACCAAAUCUUGACAUCCUCUGACCCCUCUAGAGAUAGAGUUUUCCCCUUCGGGGGAACAGAGUGACAGGUGGUGCAUGGUUGUCGUCAGCUCGUGUCGUGAGAUGUUGGGUUAAGUUCCCGCAACGAGCGCAACCCUUAAGCUUAGUUGCCAUCAUUAAGUUUGGGCACUCUAAGUUGACUGCCGGUGACAAACCGGAGGAAGGUGGGGAUGACGUCAAAUCAUCAUGCCCCUUAUGAUU
rnacentral:rRNA from 1 species